rnacentral:piRNA from 1 species
AAAGGUCUCUUGGAGUUUACAGCAUUGGCUUA